UCCUUAUCCCGUCUGCCGUUCCCUCACCUCGAUCCCCUUCUCUGGUCCUUUUCUCAUCUGAUCCGCUUCGCCUCUACUGCUUCGCCUCUCCUCGUCUCCGUGUGAUUCGCCAUCACCACCUCGCCGCUUCCCUACUGGUUGUGACGGCGGCGCUCGCUGGAUGGCAUGGUGGAGGUGGUAGAGGGUGGCGGAGGCGGAGCAGUCGAGGUCCUCGGCGUCGCGCGUGUGGUGGGGCAGAAAGUGGAAGGGGAAGAAUGACGCCAUCCAGAGAAGGAGGCAUAGGAUCUAAAAGAUCGAGCCUGCCCCUCACGCAAGCUCAAGAAGGAGUUUUCCGGGUGUGUGGAUGAUAGUUUGUUCAGCAGCAUGGACCAUGCCAUGAAAUUGGUGACGGCAAGACUCCCAGACUCAUAUGACAAAAAGGAAGGAGUUACAGGAGAUGGAACCACUGGUGGGGCGGUAGAAUUUUUUUCUGUUGAGGGCGAUAGUGUGUAGGAGCAACCUUUCCUUUUUAGGAUAAUGUGUGGACAUGUAUUUACUUUUUUGGGGUGUGUGCUCCAGGGGACUAGCCAGCCAACGGUUGCUGGCUAGCCGUCGUUGAAAGGUGUAGAAGCAACGACAAUCUAGAGACCGUAAUAAUUUCUGUGUUUUGCAUUCCCAGGCAGAGUAACAAUGAAUCGCCACUAUUGUUUGGAUAGGAAGAGGGAGGGGAGAAGGAAUCUGCAUUUUUGAGUGCAAGCGGGGCAAGUUGCAAGCAGCACUUAGACAAGCACAUGUCAAUAGGGACAAAACUCUUCUCAUUUUUCGUGCAAAACGGAUCCAUGGUUUUUUUAGGUGAUACAAUAUUAAACCAUAGACACAGUGUGCGUUUUCUUUUGUCACUGCCCUCGCAACGGCGGCGGAACCCCAACAGCUCCACCUUCUUGUGGCACGCCGCGCACCGGUUUGCUGCCACCGCCGGCUGUUUCACGGAUGGUGGCACGGAGCGGUCAAAAACUGUUAACUCAAGAAGGAGUUUUCCGGGUGUGUGGAUGAUAGUUUGUUCAGCAGCAUGGACCAUGCCAUGAAAUUGGUGACGGCAAGACUCCCAGACUCAUAUGACAAAAAGGAAGGAGUUACAGGAGAUGGAACCACUGGUGGGGCGGUAGAAUUUUUUUUUCUGUUGAGGGCGAUAGUGUGUAGGAGCAACCUUUCUUGUUUAGGACAAUGUGUGGACAUGUAUUUAAUUUUUUGGGGUGUGUGCUCCAGGGGACUAGCCAGCCAACGGUUGCUGGCUAGCCGUGUCCAUUAAAGAAUAGGCAUGAGACGCUAUCAACCAAGCUUUUCAAGUUGUAGAGCAUGCUUGGUGAGGUGCUAUCGCACAGGUUGACAUUCGGUGGCGCGAUUCACACGUACUACUCCGUCGCUGAGUGCAAGCCGGCGCGCCCGACUAGAAGAAGAAACCUGCACCUUCUCAAUAAUGGUGUUUUUUCUUUGGAUGAA